AGUGAACGCUGGCGGUAGGCCUAACACAUGCAAGUCGAACGGCAGCACAGUAAGAGCUUGCUCUUACGGGUGGCGAGUGGCGGACGGGUGAGGAAUACAUCGGAAUCUACUUUUUCGUGGGGGAUAACGUAGGGAAACUUACGCUAAUACCGCAUACGACCUACGGGUGAAAGCAGGGGAUCUUCGGACCUUGCGCGAUUGAAUGAGCCGAUGUCGGAUUAGCUAGUUGGCGGGGUAAAGGCCCACCAAGGCGACGAUCCGUAGCUGGUCUGAGAGGAUGAUCCGCCACCCUGGAACUUAGACACGGUCCAGACUCCUGCGGGAGGGCGCAGUGGGGAAUAUUGGACAAUGGGCGCAAGCCUGAUCCAGCCAUACCGCGUGGGUGAAGAAGGCCUUCGGGUUGUAAAGCCAUUUUGUUGGGAAAGAAAAGCAGCAGGUUAAUACCCCGCUGUUCUGACGGUACCCAAAGAAUAAGCACCGGCUAACUUCGUG
rnacentral:rRNA from 1 species